AUACGAAGGGGGCUAGCGUUGUUCGGAAUUACUGGGCGUAAAGCGCGCGUAGGCGGAUUGGUCAGUUAGUGGUGAAAUCCCAGGGCUUAACCCUGGAACUGCCUCUAAUACUGCCAGUCUUGAGUUCGGGAGAGGUGAGUGGAAUUCCUAGUGUAGAGGUGAAAUUCGUAGAUAUUAGGAAGAACACCAGUGGCGAAGGCGGCUCACUGGCCCGAUACUGACGCUGAGGCGCGAAAGCGUGGGGAGCAAACAGGAUUAGAAACCCCAGUAGUCC
rnacentral:rRNA from 1 species